rnacentral:lncRNA from 9 species
UGCAGUGGUGUGCAACUUGGAGUGAGGGUAUAGCCUCUGGACUGUAAGUGACCAAUCUCUGAUGCCACCAGCCCCACCUAAGCUUUAGGGACAUGGCUGUGCACCUAUGGCAGAUGACCAGAGAAAUUUCAUGGUGGUGGUAACAGCAAUUCAAAACUUGUGAUGGUUCUAAGUAGUUCGUGUGCCUUUAUGUUUUGGUGUUACUGGAUUACAGCUGUGUAAGUCUGUAUUUUUAUUUUAUUCCUUUUAUCUAUACAAAGAAAAGAAAAGAGUAACACUUAGAAAAUUGAGAGUGGGACAAAUCAUGUUUCAAUAAAAUCUACAGAGAGAUAUCACAUCCAUGAGGUCCUAAACAAUCUAUUGCUCCCAUUCCUUUUUCCAGGAAUGAGGAAAAUACUGGUCACAAAACCUAUCAUUGGAUAACAAGGAUCCUCGGUAGAAUCAAAUAUUAGAAAAUUUUGCUCCUGAGAAAUAGACAUGAGGUUUUGUAGGCUUGGAUUCUGGUGAUCCCUAGUGUUGUUUCUAUUCCAUCACCUUCACUAUAGAACAUUCUCUCGUCAUGGACCCUACCAGCUUAUACUUGAUCUUGAUUUCAAACAGAGUUUCUAAGACAUGGUAGUUUUCCCCUCUCUCUUUUUAAAUGUCCAUCCAGUAGGAUUUGGAAGAUAUGAGGGAAAAAAGACUCUCCAGGCAGGGGAAGCUGCCUGUGUUAAGACAGUAUAUAUAUAGUUCCCUAGUAGCUCAGCAGGUAAAGGAUCUGGCAUUGUCACUGCAGCCGCUUGGGUCACUGCUGUGGCAUGAAUUUGAUCUCUGCUCCCCCCACCCCACUCUGGAACUUCCAUGUGCUGCAGGUGAGGCCAAAAAAAAAUAGUGGAAGGCUGAAGAGAACUAUUUUGACAGGUCAUCUUACAUAGCAGCGGACAUGCGGACAUGCUGGGUUGUAGAGCAGUGGUUUGGGAGCUAAAAACCACUCCACUAUGUGGAGGAGAAGAUGACAGCUCACAGGGGGUCCAUUAUGAGGAACAGUGGUGGGGACUGGGUGGCCUCUGGGUGCAGAGCUAAGGAGCAGUCCACAGGACCACUCUCACAGUGACACCAAGUACACCUGUGAGGGCCCCAAGGCCAGUUUCAGUUUUCACACAGUGAGGAAGUUUAACUUGACCUGGUGAUCUUCAAGUCUCCUCAGCUCAAUACUUUUGAUGUGGAGAUAAGUUGAUACACAAAGGGCACUGGCAGAGUCCACAGAGGACGCUGGUUCCCUCAUGGCGCCAGGCCCCAGGAGAAUGUGAGCUGCAAGGAUAACUUCUACUAACUUGGAAAAUUACAACAAAUACAAGUUAUCUCCAAGGCCAAGGACUAAAAGUCUGAUUUCCAUGGUGACAUAUGGAUGGAGCUCUGCUUUGGAUGGAGAAUGUUGAAACGGAAUGUGUUGAAGACUUAUUCUGGGGCCAUCUAUUCUCAAACAAUGAGAUUUAUUUAUUUGGCCACAGCUAAGGCUUAUGGAAGUUCCUGGGCCAGGGACUGAAUCUGAGUGGCAGCUGCAACCUACCUACACUGCACCCACACUGGAUCCUUUAACUCACUGUGCCAGCACCUCCAAAGCUACCUGAGCCACUGCAGUCACAUACCUAACCCACUGUGCUGUAGAGGGAACUCCAAGAUUUCUUUUUAAAAAAUUACCCCAAAGAAAGUAAUUCAAAUAAGUCUGCCUCAAAGCCUUAGGACAGCUCCUUUCAAAGCUCUCCUAGGUGGCUUUUUAUUUUAUUGCAAUUCCUUUCUUGGCCAACCUGUUUCCUUCAGUGGAUGCUCAGCCUAGAGGAAACAUUCUGAGAUAGCGGGGAGAUGUCUUCUUCCUGGAGAUUUUGUCACCUUGAAACACAGCACCUCUUCAGGCUUCCUUCAUCAUCCUUAGAGAUUUCCAUGAGCAUUGCCUGCCUUAAAAUUUUUUAAAAUUCUUUGGAAAAAGCAGACUUGAGCCAGCUUCGGGCUGAGGCCUACAUUAUAAAUGCUAAAGGGCUUCAUUUUCAGAUGAAAUGUUUUCCACAAGUACUUGUCUAACCAAAUCAUACAGUACAAAAAUAAGAGGGCUUGAAUGGGCAAAAAUGAUGUUUAUUUGCAAAGGAAAACCCUUUCAAAAGUGCUCAUACCUGCCCACAUCUGCUUUUUGUUCUUGGGGUCAAUAACCCUCCUGAUUUAAGUGUUUUGUUUCCAGAGCACUUAUCUGAGAAUCGUGGAAUGAAAUAAAUAGGGAAAGUAAAAAGCAUUAUUUUAAAAUAAUGCAAUUUGUAUCUAAUGUGGUCACACGUGGUAUUCUUAACUUCUUACAUUUAACUGUAAUUUGAAAUACUUCAUAUCCCAUAUUUUAAAAACGAACCUAGGGUUUUCUCCAUCGUUUUUGAAAGUCACCAUGAUAUUCUUAUAUUGUCAUCAACAUUGAUUAUGCUACCAUUCUGGGGUUCUGCUUUAUAUAUUUUAAUUAAAUGUUUUCUAUUUUGUGCUUAUACCCUUAGGCAAUUUUAACAUGAAGGGGACAAUUUUAUAAGUGGAAAAAAAGAAAACCAUCCAAAUUGAUUGGUGGGUUCCCUGCUGCACAGAACAUUUAAAAGCUAGAAUUCCUGCCUCAAAAUGUUUCCAGGCAAAGUGAAAUUAUGAGGAAAAUUAGAUGCUUUUAAAAUGUCAAGAGUUAGCUAUUUUAUUUGGUUUGAUUUUUGGUUUGUUUGAUAUAGUCAUGAAACAUCUUCCUAAAGAUGAGGCCCUUUUUGCUGAAGAGAAGGCAUAAAGGCUUAUUCCAUGAUUAUUUGUAAUCGUUAAAAAUUUAAUACAGGGAGUUCCUGUUGUGGCUCAGCAGUUAAAGAAUCUGACUAGCAUCCAUGAGGACACAGAUACCAUCCCUGGCCUUGCUCAGUGGAUUAAGGAUCCCGCAUUGCCAUGAGCUGUGCUGUAGGUCACAGAUGCAGCUCAGAUCCUGCAUUGCUGUGGCUGUGCAUCCAGACCAUGUAGUGACAUAGAGAAAUGUUUACUAUACAUUAAGAGAAAAAAAUAAGACUAUAAUCAGUAUACAUAAUAGAGUCCUUAUUUUAUUAAGAAAAAAUGUAGACUGAAUAAAUAAUGAAUAUAAACAUGCAUAGAAAACCCUGAAAGGCUCUUUAUACCAGGUUAGUCAUGGUUUCUGCACAAACCAGACAUGACUUGAAAAGAUAAUAAAUCAUUAAAUCUUAGAGUUGAAGGGGCUUGGAGAUCAUUGAAUUCAGUUACUCAUUAAUUCACCAGAUCAUUCAUCCUAUUUACAGACUGAGCCCAAUAAAUAUUUGGGAGUUUUCUCUUAAAUGGAACUCCCACCUGCCUUCCUGUAGCUGGUGCUCUCUCUGCCUUUGGGAAACUUGUGGAAUAAAUCCAAUUCCUGGAAUUCCCCUUGUGGCUUGAUGGGUUAAGGACCUGAUGUUUUCUCCCCAAGAAUGCAGGUUUGAUCCCCAGCCUGGCUCAGUGGGAUAAGGAUCCAGCAUUGCUGCAAGCUGCAACAUAAUUUGCAGAUGCACCUUGGAUCCGGUGCUGCUGUGGCUGUGGUGUAGGCCUGCAGCUGCAGCUCUGAUUCAACCCCUAGUCCAAGAAUUUCCAUAUGCUGCAGGUACAGCCUCAAAAGAAAAACAAAAUCCAAUUCCUUAUACAUCACUGUUCUUCAGGUACUUAAAGCCUACUCCUACUUAAUCUUCUUUCUUCAGUGUAACAUCCCCAGUUCAUUCAAUAUUUUUGGUGCUUUCCCAAUUUGUCCCAAGGCCCUGACACAUUUAUCUGGAGGUUGAUGAGUUGUCAGCAUCCAGAGCAAACUCCACGUCCAAGUGCACGCAGGCCAGCCAGAAUCCAGGGGACCUGCUUGCUCUUUUGAUCUCUAACCAAUAAAGGCCAUAGUUCAUAUCAACUUGAAGUCAACUAAAACUUUUCCAGAGAAUUCCUGUAUGAGCAACUAUUAAGGGCCAUUUCCCCCCAUUUAAAUUCAUUCUAUUAAUUCUUUGACCGCCGGAGUUCCCAUCAUGGCUCAGUGGUAAUGAACCGACUAGUAUUCAUAAAGAUGUGGGUUUGAUGCCUGGCCUUGCUCAGUGGGUUAAGGAUCUAGCAUUGCCAUGAGCCAUGGUGUAGGUUGCAGAAAAGGCUUGGAUCUGGCAUUGCUGUGGCUGUGGUAUAGGCUGGCAGCUGCAGCUCUAUUUCAACCCCUGGCCUGGCAAGUUUCAUAUGCUCUUGGAGCAGCCCUAAAAAGCAAAUUCAUUCAUUCAUUCAUUCAUUCUUUGACUCCAACACAGGAGCUACACAGAUAUAACAAGCUGAGAUUCAGUUUCCAGCCUUUCUAGUCACCCUUACUAAGUCAUUAUCUUAUUUGUUUUAUUCUAUAUCCAAGUCUAACAAACUCUUUUUUCUUUUCUUUUUUUUUUUUUUUUUUUUUUUUUUUUUUGUGUGUGUGUGUGUGUGUCUUUUUAAGGUUGCACCCAGGGCAUAUGGAGGUUGCCAGGAUAGGAGUCUAAUCAGACCACAGCCACAGCAACACAGGAUCCGAGCCACGUCUGCAACCUACACCACAGUUCAUGGCAAUGCCAGAUCCUUAACCGACUGAGCAAUGCCAGGAAUGAAACCUGGGUUCAGAUGGAUGCUAGUCAGAUUUGUUUGUGCUGAGCCACGACAGGAACUCCUCAAACUCUUUUUUUUUUUUUUUUUUUUAAUUUUUUUUGGAUGCACUCACAGCAUAUGGGAGUUCUUGGGCCAGGGAUUGAAUCUGAGCCACAGAUACAACCUACAUCACAGCUGAAGCAACAUUGGAUCCUUAACCCACUGUGCCACAGGGGGAACUCCUAUCAGACUCAUUUUAAAUCUUCAUCCUGUCUGGCAAUAUGUUACCUCCUUUUGAGUUUUUCCUUCCUGUGUUGAUAAGUGCACCAUCUCUAUCUUUACUCAUCUCCAAAAAUCAUGGGCAAAGACCAAAAGUCUCUGAAAUUCCAAACCUGCUUUGCACAGAGGACCUGAGUAUAGAGUUUCAUUGGACAACCCCCCUAGUCAGGUACCACGACUCUGGGGUAAGCCAGCAGGCAUCUGCUAGGAGAGAGAGGAGGCACCUCCCACAGGCCUGGCCAGCAGCCUGGGAGGAAACAGCCCUGAAUUUCCCACAGUCGAGUUGCAGUGCUUUUCCCAGCACCAGGCACUAUAUAAAGAGUACGAAAGUGGAGUUCCUGCUGUGGUGCAGUGGGUUAAGCAUCUGACUGCAGUGGCUCCCCCAGCCCGGAAACUUCCAUCAUAAAAAUACAUAUGUAGAGACAAAACUAAAGUUUCUCGUGGAGUUUUCCCAAAAGAAAGAAAAUGAGUGAGAGGACAAAAUGCCUGGUAUCAAUCAGCGCUUAAACCUACCACUGAGAAGCUAAGACGCUAUAAAUAGAGUGAUGGGUUGGACCUCUGCCUCACUUCCCCUGUAAAUGCCACUGCUAUCUGGUCCAUUUGUUUGGGAUGUGCCCUCCAGAAAAUCUUUGGAUGGGGGAACCCAGUUCCUGGGAGAAUUAGUCAACUGUGAAUUUCUCUUGUCUUUAUCAUGAUCCCACAGCAUCCACAGUUUCCAUGCAGUGAGGAAGUUUAACUCAACCUGGUGAACUUCAAGUCUUCUCUGCUCAAUACUGUUGAUGUGGAGAUAAGUUGAUACACCGUCCAGGGGCAGUUUACAGUUUUUUGCUCAUCAUGCUGUGCACGGUUCUCUGUGGAACAGAGAUUUGAUGUUUCCAGAACCUGCCUCUGGCUCAGCAAUUCUUUCACUUGUCUCAAAUUUACUCCUCCUUUUCUACGCUCCUUGGGCACUUCCCCCUGCCACCCACCCCUGUGCCCACUGCCUGCUCUCUGGGAAAAUCACCUGAGGUCUAGCUGUGGCAGCCUCUCAGGCCUAGACUUGCCCACCCUUCCACCGUGAACUCUGCUUCUUUCUGCCGAGGGACAGAGCCUAUCCCUGAAUUACUUACAGAUCCUCCAUUUAUUCAUAUAGAACAGGGAUGCAAAUUCUCAUGGGACCAUGAUGAGGAUAUGUUCAAGAAAGAGUGUAAAGUGUUAACUAUGUUGUCUGGCACAUAGAAAGCACACAAAUAGAUGGUAACCAAAAAAAAAA